AGGACAUCAAAAAUUGUCACAAGCAAUCUAUACUGUAUGACUGGUGCCACGACUGACAAUAGCAGGAGAAGAAAGGGAAUCUAACCCCUUAGAAAAAGAAAAUGUUAAAAUAAAGGCGCAAGAAAGGCUGCUGGUGUUUGUUAAAGAAAAUGGUGCCACCGUCUCGG
rnacentral:lncRNA from 11 species